rnacentral:pre_miRNA from 12 species
GCUAACAUUCUUGUCUUGUUUCUGAUCUUAGGAGGUAGUAUCUCUUUUAAGUCUGAAUUCUCUCAGCUGUCUGAAAAUACCUUCAGUUUUGAAGGCUU